rnacentral:rRNA from 1 species
CCCGUUCCCAUCCCGAACACGGAAGUUAAGCUCUCCAGCGCCGAUGGUAGUUGGGGCCAGCGCCCCUGCAAGAGUAGGUCGUCGCUAGGC